CCUACGGGAGGCAGCAGUGGGGAAUAUUGGACAAUGGGGGGAACCCUGAUCCAGCCAUGCCGCGUGUGUGAAGAAGGCCCUCGGGUUGUAAAGCACUUUCAGUGAGGAAGAACGCCUGGUGGUUAAUACCCAUCAGGAAAGACAUCACUCACAGAAGAAGCACCAGCUAACUCCGUGCCAGCAGCCGCGGUAAUACGGAGGGUGCGAGCGUUAAUCGGAAUUACUGGGCGUAAAGCGCGCGUAGGUGGCUUGAUAAGCCGGUUGUGAAAGCCCCGGGCUCAACCUGGGAACGGCAUCCGGAACUGUCAAGCUAGAGUGCAGGAGAGGAAGGUAGAAUUCCCGGUGUAGCGGUGAAAUGCGUAGAGAUCGGGAGGAAUACCAGUGGCGAAGGCGGCCUUCUGGACUGACACUGACACUGAGGUGCGAAAGCGUGGGUAGCAAACAGGAUUAGAUACCCCUGUAGUC
rnacentral:rRNA from 1 species